UUCUUUGGGAUUGUGGUGUCAC
rnacentral:piRNA from 1 species